AUUGAACGCUGGCGGCAUGCUUUACACAUGCAAGUCGAACGGUAGAGGGGGCAACCCCUUGAGAGUGGCGAACGGGUGAGUAAUGCAUCGGAACGUGCCCAGUAGUGGGGGAUAGCCCGGCGAAAGCCGGAUUAAUACCGCAUACGACCUUAGGGUGAAAGCGGGGGAUCGCAAGACCUCGCGCUAUUGGAGCGGCAGAUGUCAGAUUAGGUAGUUGGUGGGGUAAAGGCCUACCAAGCCGACGAGCUGUAGCUGGUCUGAGAGGACGACCAGCCACACUGGGACUGAGACACGGCCCAGACUCCUACGGGAGGCAGCAGUGGGGAAUUUUGGACAAUGGGCGCAAGCCUGAUCCAGCCAUGCCGCGUGCGGGAAGAAGGCCUUCGGGUUGUAAACCGCUUUUGUCAGGGAAGAAAUCUUCUGGGCUAAUACCCUGGGAGGAUGACGGUACCUGAAGAAUAAGCACCGGCUAACUACGUGCCAGCCGCCGCCGUAA
rnacentral:rRNA from 1 species